UACGUAGGGGGCGAGCGUUGUCCGGAAUUAUUGGGCGUAAAGAGCGUGUAGGCGGUUCGGUAAGUCUGCCGUGAAAACCUGAGGCUCAACCUCGGGCGUGCGGUGGAUACUGCCGGGCUAGAGGACGGUAGAGGCGAGUGGAAUUCCCGGUGUAGCGGUGAAAUGCGUAGAUAUCAAGAGGAACACCUGAGGUGAAGACGGGUUGCUGGGCCAACACUGACGCUGAGGCGCGAAAGCCAGGGGAGCAAACGGG
rnacentral:rRNA from 1 species